CAAGCCAAAGUUUUCUUUCUGUGGAAAAGUUGAUGCGCCUUUUAAGAAGUGAACAACCAAGUUAUUUGCCUGGAAAAGUCUCCUGAAAUACUGAAGUUAUGCUAAAGAAGGAGAAGAGAAAGGAAGCUGCAGUCCCUGUAUAACUCCUAAAUUUUUAAUUUGGAGUUCCUCUUCUUCGAUGCAACAAUCUUUCUGCAUGCACAGAUCCAUGUGGCACUCAUCUCAUCAUUCUGAGGGAAGAAAGAUGCAUAGGGAAUGUUGCAUGUGGUUAUUUCUACACCAUGGCAAUAUGUUUUCUUGAAAUGAAGCUAAGGACUGGGAAAUUGAAAGUAAUCCUCAUGCUUUUUGAUAAUGCACCUCCUCAGGAAUAAUAUCAAAGUAACACCUGAACAAAAAGGGCUGGUUCAGGUGACCACAGAGUGACAAUUUCUCUCAAGUGCACAUUAUCCAUCAAGAAGAUUUAAAUCAUUUUGAAAUAUUAAUAUAAUGAUCAAAAAUUAACUUUUAUACAUGUUAUUAGGCAGAACCCACAGAAAACAAUAAAGCACGAGAGAAAAGAGGAUGGCAGUUUACCCAGGAAACAUAGGUUGUGCAAAGCUUUGCAAUGAUACUCUCAAUUCAGAGCAAUGAAGAACAGAAUGCUGUCUUCCCAUAAUGAUGGCAUUCAAUUAUCACUAGACUUACAAGACUACAGAAAAUUUCUCAAGAACCAGUAAGGAUCAGACAGAGCCAAUGACAAUACUGAAGAAGCUUGCCAGUGGAGAAUGAAAGCUCAGUUACACAAAUUACGUUGUUGAACCAGUGCCAGAAAUAAAAUGUGAUGGACAAACUCAUU
rnacentral:sRNA from 1 species